GACGAACGCUGGCGGCGUGCUUAACACAUGCAAGUCGAACGGAAAGUGCCCUUUCGGGGGUGACUCGAGUGGCGAACGGGUGAGUAACACGUGGGUGAUCUGCCCUGCACUUUGGGAUAAGCCUGGGAAACUGGGUCUAAUACCGGAUAGGACCACGCGCUUCAUGGUGUGUGGUGGAAAGCUUUUGCGGUGUGGGAUGGGCCCGCGGCCUAUCAGCUUGUUGGUGGGGUAAUGGCCUACCAAGGCGACGACGGGUAGCCGGCCUGAGAGGGAGACCGGCCACACUGGGACUGAGAUACGGCCCAGACUCCUACGGGAGGCAGCAGUGGGGAAUAUUGCACAAUGGGCGCAAGCCUGAUGCAGCGACGCCGCGUGAGGGAUGACGGCCUUCGGGUUGUAAACCUCUUUCAGCAGGGACGAAGCGCAAGUGACGGUACCUGUAGAAGAAGGACCGGCCAACUACGUGCCAGCCGCCGCGGUAAAAC
rnacentral:rRNA from 1 species